rnacentral:rRNA from 1 species
UAGAGUUUGAUCCUGGCUCAGGAUGAACGCUAGCUACAGGCUUAACACAUGCAAGUCGUGGGGAAACGACCGGGAAGCUUGCUUUCCGGGGCGUCGACCGGCGCACGGGUGAGUAACGCGUAUCCAACCUGCCCCAAAGUAGGGAAUAAUCCGUAGAAAUGCGGUCUAAUGCCCUAUGUGGUGACAAGAAGACAUCCGAUUGUCACUAAAGGUCCGCCGCUUUGGGAUGGGGAUGCGUCUGAUUAGAUUGUUGGCGGGGCAACGGCCCACCAAGUCCACGAUCAGUAGGGGUUCUGAGAGGAAAGUCCCCCACAUUGGAACUGAGACACGGUCCAAACUCCUACGGGAGGCAGCAGUGAGGAAUAUUGGUCAAUGGAGGCAACUCUGAACCAGCCAAGUAGCGUGCAGGACGACGGCCCUAUGGGUUGUAAACUGCUUUUAUAAGGGGAUAAAGGAUGCCACGUGUGGUGUUUUGCAUGUACCUUAUGAAAUAAGGACCGGCUAAUUCCGUGCCAGCAGCCGCGGUAAUACGGAAGGUCCGGGCGUUAUCCGGAUUUAUUGGGUUUAAAGGGAGCGCAGGCGGGCGAUUAAGCGUGACGUGAAAUGCAGCGGCUCAACCGUAUGAAGUGCGUCGCGAACUGGUUGCCUUGAGUGAGUUCGACGUGCGCGGAAUUCGUGGUGUAGCGGUGAAAUGCUUAGAUAUCACGAAGAACCCCGAUUGCGAAGGCAGCCGACGAGUCCUUAACUGACGCUAAAGCUCGAAAGUGCGGGUAUCGAACAGGAUUAGAUACCCUGGUAGUCCGCACGGUAAAC